CACACACCCACAUCGGGAGGGACUGCUUUACCCCAAUCCUCGUCGCAUCCAGCACUCGCCCCACUGCCCUUCCGGACGCCGGAGAUGCCUGCGUCGGCGGCGAAUAACCGGCCGGAAGAUCUGACCGCUCGGCUGGGCGUGGGCGCCGGCGCCGCGCAGGGGGAGGCGCUGCUCAAGGCCCUCCGCGAGGUCAAGAACCAGAUCAUCGGCAACAAGACCAAGAAGCUCCUCUACCUCCACCUCGGCGCCGUCCCCAAGAUUGUCUCCGUCCUCGCCGCCGCCGCCGCCUCCUCCUCCUCCGACUCUGGCGGGAUCAGCCGCGGCGGUGAUGCUGCCGUUAUCGUUCAAGCCGCCGCCGCCAUCGGCAGCUUCGCAUGUGGGGUUGAGGACGGGGUUCGCGCCGUCCUCGAUGCAGGCGCUGUGCCCCACCUCACCAGCAUCCUUUCCCACGACGAUGAGAAGGUAGUGGAUGCGGGUGCUCGUUCUCUUAAAAUGAUAUUCCAAUCUGAGCUUGCCCCAAAGUAUGAUGUUCUUCAAGAGAAGAACUUGAAUUUUAUACUUUCACUCUUAGACAGUGACAAUGAAAAUGUUACUGAACUUGCUGCCAGUAUCAUAGCACACUCUUGUGAGACAAACGAACAGCAGAAGGCACUGUGUGAUGCUGGGGUCUUGCUCAGAUUUGUCAGUCUACUUGGUGGAUCUUCAAACCAAAAGGAUGGUUGUUUAGAAUCUAUAGCAGCAGUUAUAAAAAAUAACCCUGAAGUUUCUUCUAGGUUUUCUUGCACUGGCAAUGGCAAAGCUUUGAAUGCAUUGGCAAACUUGAUACAGGACCGGUAUCCUCAUACAAGAUUACUUGCCUGUAAAUGUUUGAUUGCUGUUGGGCAUGCCUCACCUUGUUACGUGGAAGAGUUACAAAUCAAAACUAAGUUAGUGUUAGUAUUAGUUGAGCUUCUUGAAGAACCUGGUCGAGUUGGAAAUGAGGCUCCAUUCUCAUUGAAAACUCUAAUUGCAGAUGAUGAGGAGUUACAUAAGCAGGCACUUUCUGUUAAUGCUAUUGAGAAGCUCUGCAGCAUUCUGCAGAUGAGCUCGGUACAGGCAAGGCGCCUCCAGGGAAUAUUGCUUGCUCUGGCUGAGCUUUGUUCAAAGUUAGAGAAGUGCAGAUGUCAGCUUAUGUCACCUCAGGUGCUGAAUUUAAUUGUUGAUGCACUGAAACAUGAUUGUAUGGAUGUUCGUGUUGCUGCAUGUGAUUGUAUAAGGAACAUCACUCGGUCUCUGAAGAACCUAAGUGCAGGAUGUCUUUCCAGUGAGGCAUUUAUUGUUCGUUUGGUCCAGCUUUCGCAUGAUCCAUCAACAUCUGUGCAGAUUGCUGCGCUUGGUGCUCUUUGUAACAUUGUUAUUAACUGUGCAACUCGAAAGUCUGUAUUAAUCAAAUGUGGAGGUGUCUCACAACUUGUUCAACUAUCAAAGUCAAUGGAUUCAGCGCUCCGAUCAAGAUCUGUGUUGGCUUUGAGGAAUCUGAUGUUCCUUGCAGACAUAACAGAUAAAGAAUUUAUCCUUAAGGAGCUAACAUUAUGUACUCUAGCUAGCCUGAUAUAUGAUUCUGAAUGUUCUAUCCAAGAGCAAGCCUUGGCACUCACAAGUGAUCUUGUUGAUGGAUGUAGUCAAUCUGUCAAGCAUGUACUUGCAGAAGACAGUAUUAUUCUAGAUGCUGUUAUGAGACAAUUGCAGAAUGCAUCAUCCAUAGGUGUAUGCAUUCAGGGAAUGUUUGUGCUCAGCAAUAUUGCAGCUGGGAGUGAGUCUGAUAAAGAUACGGUUAUGAAUUAUCUUGUUCCCCCACACACAGAUAGUUGCAUCCCCUCAUUUACGAUCAAGUUCUUGCAGAGCAAGGAUAUUUUGCUACGUGUGGCUUCUCUAUGGUGCUUCGUCAAUCUGACAGAUCCAGCCAGUGUUGGAUCAUCCCGAAGGGUAGCGAGACUCCAAGAUGCAGGGAUUGUUCUUCAGCUAAAAUCUAUGCUUAAUGAUCCCUGUUUGGAUUGCAAGCUUCGCGUGAGAAUGAUUCUCGAGCAGUGUAUGGAGCUGGAGACUGCUCAGGCGUAAUCAGUUUUUCUGCUUGAGAAAUUGUACCAUUCUUGUAUUUUUCAUUAGGAGGGACACAUUAUAAUAUGUUAAAUGAUCCCCUACCAAAGUCUUGCAUGUAAAAACGUCUUUUCAGAAGGGUGAGAAAGGCGUAUCCCGAUGUGCCACAUCUUUACUGGGGAUCGACUGCUCGCUCUGAACCAGUCAUGGAAAUGUUGGUGGAUUUCUUUCUCUUUUUUAUGAUGCUAUCCUCAUUUGAAAUGCACUUAGUCAUCACUUGUCAUCCUUGUGUACGAUAAUAUGGUUGAGAUAUGUAACAUUUGUGGCAAAGCACUUUUUUCCGAAUGAAUUUCGAGGAUUUUUUUUGAAUGAAUGUAACUGUUGGUUAGUUCGAAUAGAUAUAUUGUUCAGUC